CAUUGAAUUUACGUGAUGCAAUGAAGUCCACGGAUGCAUUGUCGUAAUACAUGAAGUCUUGCUUGAGAAUGCUCCAAGUACUUGGCUGUGAAAGAAAGAAUGGAAUUUACAACAACAAAAUCCUAAUUCUAAUAGAAUACUAACAAUGCUCUAAUUAGACCAUAAUAAUACUAAGGAAGCUUAAUCAAAUUUAAAAAAAAUCUCAAAGAAAUUUCAAACAAAUAAUAAGAAUUCUUAAAGAAAUAUUAGAAGGAUUAAAAAUAUCACUAAAAUACAUCUCAAUUCAAUCUUAAUUUAAUACUAGUUAAAAUUCUAUUGAACUUCAUUCAAACUUUAGGCCAAAACUCAUUGAAUCUUAAAUCCUAAUAAAAUCCUAAACUCAAAAUCAAACCCUAAAGAAAUCUUAAACCAAAUUUCAACUAGAUCUUAAAUCCUAAAUCAAAUCCUAAUCAAAAUCCUAAACCCUAAUCCAAAUUCUAAACCCUAAAUCAAACCCUAAUCUAAAUCUUCAUCCAAAUCCUAAUCCAAAUCCUAAACCCUAAAUUAAACCCUAACCAAAUCUUAAAUAAAUCUUAAAUCCUAAAUAAAAUCCUAAUCAAAUCCUAAAUCAAAUCAUAAUCCAAACCCUAAAUCCUAAGUCAAAUCCUAAAUUCUAAAUCAAAUCCUAAUCCAAAUCCAAAUCCCAUACCUUAAAUCAAAUCCUAACCAAACCCUA
rnacentral:lncRNA from 1 species